AACCAUAGAAACCUGCGGAGUACCUGCGGAAGGAUCAUUAACAAAUCUCUAAAACACACUGUUCUUCCCUCUCCUUCACGGGAGUGAGAAGGCAGUAACAUCCUAACCUGUGAAUCGGCAGUAUCACUCUGUGCUACUGUUUGCGUUUUGGUGUUGGGUUGCGCAUGCCUAUUGUGUUUGUCGUAGCUUCAGCCAAAAAUGCACCAAAUUAACGUCUAUGAUAUUGUCUUAGCAUUUGCA
rnacentral:misc_RNA from 1 species